GGACGAACGCUGGCGGCGUGCUUAACACAUGCAAGUCGAACGGUAAGGCCCUUCGGGGUACACGAGUGGCGAACAGGUGAGUAACACGUGGGUGAUCUGCCCUGCACUUCGGGAUAAGCCUGGGAAACUGGGUCUAAUACCGGAUAGGACUCCUGGCUUCAUGGUUGGGGGUGUAAAGCUUUUGCGGUGUGGGAUGGGCCCGCGGCCUAUCAGCUUGUUGGUGGGGUAAUGGCCUACCAAGGCGACGACGGGUAGCCGGCCUGAGAGGGUGACCGGCCACACUGGGACUGAGAUACGGCCCAGACUCCUACGGGAGGCAGCAGUGGGGAAUAUUGCACAAUGGGCGCAAGCCUGAUGCAGCGACGCCGCGUGAGGGAUGACGGCCUUCGGGUUGUAAACCUCUUUCAAUAGGGACGAAGCGCAAGUGACGGUACCUAUAGAAGAAGGACCGGCCAACUACGUG
rnacentral:rRNA from 1 species